UGCAGUACAGCCGGGUCAGCUCUGUGGGCUUCAACCCGCUGAGGUCCAGUUUAUCAGAACCGCGGGGGAAAUGUGCCACAACUUCCGCCUCCGACAUUACUGCGAGUGUGAUCCUGAAAUCAGCAGGGAAAACCCUGAAAAGAAAACUUGAGAAGAACCGGACUCAAAUGUGAACCUCUUCUGGUUGAGACACAUCUGGAUUAUCAUUCGGUUGGGGUCAGAGCGCAGGGUCAGCCAUGAUACAGCGCCCCCUGGAGCAGAGAGGGUUAAGGGCCUUGCCCAAGGGCCCAACAGUGGCAGCGUGGCGGUGCUGAGGCUUGAACCUCCGACCUUCUGCUCAGUAACCCAGAGCCUUAACCGCAGAGCCACCACUGUUACAUUUAUUGAAAUUGUGGCCUCAGAUUCACGUUCCUGGCUGGCAGGAGCUGAAUCCGAUGUGGAUUUCUGCUCCUGUAGUCCAUCCGCCUAAAGGUUUGACACGUGCAUUCUGCGAUGCUUUUCUGCUCACCGUGGUUGUAAAGAGCAGGUAUCCGAGUUACUAUAGCCUUCCUGUCAAGUCGAACCUGCAUUAUACUGCUGCCACAUCAUUGGCUGUUUGGACAGGUGUUUCUCAUGAAGUGAGAGUAUGUGUAUAAGAGUCCUGCGAUGAACACAGACCAGGCUUUAUAAUUACAGCAGAAAUGAACAGUAUACAAGUGACAUUAUCCUCUUCUGAAGCAAACUAGUGUCUUGAGAACAACUUGUUUUUGGUAAGCGCAAAAAUUUAUCCGCGAGACGUACAGUAGGUUGUCGGCCCUUCGACCGGCUCCUUCACGCGAACCUUGCAUGUAUAAGUCAUUUGGGUUUCUUCUUUUCCCUUUGUUGUAGAUGUAGGCAAUGACAUUACUUUUGUUGAGCAAUCGAAUAAAAAAAAAAAAAAAAAAAAACUUCUAUGGAAAACUCGUUUCAACAUCCGAGCUGUUUUUUAGUGUGUGUCCGACUCUGUUGUUCGUGUGUUCAUGAGGCAGCUUGAUAGGGAAU